rfam:Tupaia chinensis contig61429, whole genome shotgun sequence.
GUGCUCACUUUAGCAGUACAUAUACUAAAACUUACAAUGAUGCAGAAAAGAUUGGCAUGGCCUCUGUGCAAAGAUGACACACACAUUUGUGAAGUGUCCCAUAUUUUU